rnacentral:rRNA from 1 species
UAAGGAAUAUUGGUCAAUGGACGCAAGUCUGAACCAGCCAUGCCGCGUGAAGGAUGAAGGUCCUCUGGAUUGUAAACUUCUUUUAUCUGGGACGAAAACGGGAUUUUUAUCUCAAUUGACGGUACCAGAGGAAUAAGCACCGGCUAACUCCGUGCCAGCAGCCGCGGUAAUACGGAGGGUGCGAGCGUUAUCCGGAUUUACUGGGUUUAAAGGGUGCGUAGGUGGGCUUAUAAGUCAGUGGUGAAAUCUCCGAGCUUAACUUGGAAACGGCCGUUGAUACUAUAGAUCUUGAAUUAUCUGGAGGUAAGCGGAAUAUGUCAUGUAGCGGUGAAAUGCUUAGAUAUGACAUAGAACACCAAUUGCGAAGGCAGCUUACUACAUAUAAAUUGACGCUGAUGCACGAAAGCGUGGGGAUCAA